rnacentral:lncRNA from 1 species
GUGAGAAAGCACUUGGCACAGGAUGUAUAGCUCUUCUGACAAGCAUACUGGUACUUACAUUUCUCAUGCUACCCACCCAUUGCUCAGUGUUCAGCUUUCAUCCUGCCCAGCUCUGUGAUUAUCACUCCUUCACAGCCCGUUCCUGUGUUCAGUGACCCCACUGGACUUGGAAGAAAAGUGGAAGGAAUGUACACAGUGGAACUCUAAAAAGGAGGUUCUGUUUGGCUCCCCACUUGAGGAUGCAUUUGAAGACAAAAGACAUAUAUGGCAUGAGAUAACUCUGGGAGCUACAUGCAGAUGGAAGCCACUCAGAAGAGCUGUGUGUGAUUUUGUGGCCCUGCCUCCAUACUUAUCUCUGCAGUAAAAUUAAAUCCAUGGGCUGGCAUGUUUCUGAAGCAGACUGGAACACCACAGGGGAAAAAAGUAUGAAAAAAAUAAUUUGCCUUUGUAUGAUGAAAAGUUGAUUUGAGGCUAUUUAAGUCUAACCAGCAAGCAACUAUGACAGGUAAGAUUAGCAAACAUUUACGGGUAGACAAGAUGAAAAACAAGAUGUGCAUUUCUGUAACUUAAUGGUAUGCUUAGGUAUCAGCCAAAAGCCUCAACAAAGCCUCAAUUCACAGUAAAAUAAUUUUAAUAAAGCUAUUUAUUCUAGCCUUUGGAAUUUACA